AUUGAACGCUGGCGGCAGGCCUAACACAUGCAAGUCGAGCGGCAGCGACUUAACUGAACCUUCGGGGAACGUUAAGGGCGGCGAGCGGCGGACGGGUGAGUAAUGCCUGGGAAUAUGCCCUGAUGUGGGGGAUAACUAUUGGAAACGAUAGCUAAUACCGCAUAAUCUCUUCGAAGCAAAGAGGGGGACCUUCGGGCCUCUCGCGUCAGGAUUAGCCCAGGUGGGAUUAGCUUGUUGGUGAGGUAAUGGCUCACCAAGGCAACGAUCCCUAGCUGGUCUGAGAGGAUGAUCAGCCACACUGGAACUGAGACACGGUCCAGACUCCUACGGGAGGCAGCAGUGGGGAAUAUUGCACAAUGGGGGAAACCCUGAUGCAGCCAUGCCGCGUGUGUGAAGAAGGCCUUCGGGUUGUAAAGCACUUUCAGUAGGGAGGAAGGUAGUGUAGUUAACACCUGCACUAUUUGACGUUACCUACAGAAGAAGCACCGGCUAACUCCGUGCCAGCAGCCGCGGUAAUACGGAGGGUGCGAGCGUUAAUCGGAAUUACUGGGCGUAAAGCGCAUGCAGGCGGCCUGUUAAGUCAGAUGUGAAAGCCCGGGGCUUAACCUCGGAAUUGCAUUUGAAACUGGCAGGCUAGAGUCUUGUAGAGGGGGGUAGAAUUUCAGGUGUAGCGGUGAAAUGCGUAGAGAUCUGAAGGAAUACCAGUGGCGAAGCGGCCCCCUGGACAAAGACUGACGCUCAGAUGCGAAAGCGUGGGGAGCAAACAGG
rnacentral:rRNA from 1 species